rnacentral:rRNA from 1 species
GGCGUAAGCGUGCGCAGGCGGUUUUGUAAGACAGGCGUGAAAUCCCCGGGCUUAACCUGGGAACUGCGCUUGUGACUGCAAGACUGGAGUGUAGCAGAGGGGGGUAGAAUUCCACGUGUAGCAGUGAAAUGCGUAGAGAUGUGGAGGAAUACCGAUGGCGAAGGCAGCCCCCUGGGUUAACACUGACGCUCAUGCACGAAAGCGUGGGGAGCAAACAGGAUUAGAUACCCUGGUAGUCCACGCCCUAAACGAUGUCAACUAGGCGUUGGGGAAGGAGACUUCUUUAGUACCGCAGCUAACGCGUGAAGUUGACCGCCUGGGGAGUACGGUCGCAAGAUUAAAACUCAAAGGAAUUGACGGGGACCCGCACAAGCGGUGGAUUAUGUGGAUUAAUUCGAUGCAACGCGAAAAACCUUACCUACCCUUGACAUGCCAGGAACCCUGCUGAGAGGUGGGGGUGCCCGAAAGGGAGCCUGGACACAGGUGCUGCAUGGCUGUCGUCAGCUCGUGUCGUGAGAUGUUGGGUUAAGUCCCGCAACGAGCGCAACCCUUGCCAAUAAUUGCCAUCAUUCAGUUGGGCACUUUAUUGGGACUGCCGGUGAUAAACCGGAGGAAGGUGGGGAUGACGUCAAGUCCUCAUGGCCCUUAUGGGUAGGGCUUCACACGUAAUACAAUGGUCGGUACAGAGGGUUGCCAACCCGCGAGGGGGAGCCAAUCCCAGAAAGCCGAUCGUAGUCCGGAUUGUUCUCUGCAACUCGAGAGCAUGAAGUCGGAAUCGCUAGUAAUCGCGGAUCAGCAUGUCGCGGUGAAUACGUUCCCGGGUCUUGUACACACCGCCCGUCACACCAUGGGAGUGGAAUCUGCCAGAAGUAGGUAGCCUAACCGCAAGG